CGGCGGACGGGUGAGUAACACGUGGAUAACCUACCUAUAAGACUGGGAUAACCUCGGGAAACCGGAGCUAAUACCGGAUAAUAUAUUGAACCGCAUGGUUCAAUAGUGAAAGACGGUUUUGCUGUCACUUAUAGAUGGAUCCGCGCCGCAUUAGCUAGUUGGUAAGGUAACGGCUUACCAAGGCAACGAUGCGUAGCCGACCUGAGAGGGUGAUCGGCCACACUGGAACUGAGACACGGUCCAGACUCCUACGGGAGGCAGCAGGU
rnacentral:rRNA from 1 species